rnacentral:rRNA from 1 species
CUCAGUGAUUAAUAGAAUUAAUUAAAUAGCCGCAGUAUUUUGACUGUGCGAAGGUAGCAUAAUCAUUUGUCUUUUAAUUGAAGGCUUGUAUGAAUGGUUGGAUGAGGGGAUAACUUUCUUUAUAUUAAUAGUUGAAUUUAAUUUUUAGGUUAAAAAGCUUAAAUUUAUAAAUGGGACGAGAAGACCCUGUAGAAUUUUAUUUUAAUUAGGAUAUUAUUAUUUUAGUUGUUAAAUAUUAUUAUUAUGAUUAAAAUUUUGUUGGGGUGACAGUAAGAUUUCAUGAACUCUUAUAAUUAUAUCUAAUGUAUAUUAGCAUAUUAAGGAUCCUAUAUUAAGGAUAUUUAGAUUAAAUUACCUCAGGGAUAACAGCGUAAUUUCUUUGGAGAGUUCUUAUCGAUGAAGAAGUUUGCGACCUCGAUGUUGGAUUAAAAUUAAAUUUAAGUGCAGAAGCUUAAUGUUUAGGUCUGUUCGACCUUUGAAAUUUUACAUGAUC